UUUUUUAUUUAAGAAAAUCUGAGCAUCACUCAAAAUAACUACAUGUUUGUCAACCUUAACGUGUUUUGUAAACGUUAUACAUUUUAUAAAAAUAUUUUAUAUUUUUAUUAUUGAUAAAGUAUAAAGAACAAAUCAGUGUGAAAACGCAGAUUAUAAAAAUACAUAAAGUGCCAGCAGAGGAUCCAAAAUAAUGAAAAAAAAAAAAACAUUUGAAACAUCCAAUGCAUCUUGGAAUUUGUAGUUAAUUUAUAUCUACAUCACGUAAGAACGCCAGGGCAAAAGACUCCAAUUCCCAGAAUGCACCUGCACCCACCCAUUCAUUCCCACCAAUCAUGAUCAACGGCAUUAUUCAAACCGUUACUGACUCGGUCUUCGUUUUCAUGCUAAACAGUACGGCUGAGAGGUCAUGUACCAUGUGGUCGACCUUGCUGACGCCGAAGAGGUUUCUGUGUAAAAAUGAUGUAAGUUCAGUUUAAUCAAUUAAUUUAAUCUUGUUUUAAUUCAUGCCCAUGUCAUGCUAGCUACCAGUCAAAUAUCGCAUACAAUUAAAAAUACUAUUAAUCACCUAUAAAACCUUAAAUGGCUCAGCACCUUCGUAUCUUAGAGAAUUAAUAUCAGAAUACAAUCCAACACGUACACUGCGGUCGCAAAAUUCUGGUUUCUUAAUUAUCCCUAGAAUAUCAAAAGUGUCUAAGCUCUGAAAUGAUUUGCCAACUGAUAUCUGUGAAUCAGACACAGUCAAUCACUUUAAAUCUAAAGGGACACUUCACCCACUUGUAUUAAGCUUUGUAUCUUUAGAACCCCAGUCAUGUUUUUGAAUGGUCAUGCAUCAUUUCCUGAGACAGGAGAAAUACAGAUUUAAGUGUUGCACUUCCUUCUUUCAAUGAUGUAAAUAUCAUAAUUUUGCAUCAUUGAAAGAAGGACGUCCAAUAUCUUUGUUGAGGGGGUGAGACUACAAACACCCCUUUUUCAGUCAAAUAGGCACCAAAUUCGAAAUGUAUGUUACUUUUCCACUACAAAUAUGAGACACUUUCAAUAAAGAUUAAUGUUUCUACAGGUGAAAUGGUCCAUUAAAGGAUAAUUCUGGUAUUUAACACUUUGGGUCUCAUUAUUGGUUUGUUUUGGAUGAACUACAGUGAUGGACACUGUAAUUUUGACAAUGGGUCGUGUCUUGAAUUUUUUGACUCAUUUAGAAGCGUCUCUUGACUGCUUCAGAAUGGAAGUCAAGGGCCAUACACAAAAAUGUCAUUAAAACAACACUUAACGUUCAUUUUCAAAACCGAGUGGUUUGUGGUGUUCGUUGAUGAUUAAAAACAAGUAGUGUAGCGAAAUACAUUUUCUGUCGUGUUAUUUGGCAUUUUGUAAAAUUCCAUUGACUUCUCUUGGAAGACUCAUUGCUCGCUGAUAUCACUCUGCCGCCGGAAAUGGAAAAGGGGUCUGUUUAAAUGUGGUUGUAGUUUUUUCGCUCGGUUUCUCUCAGAAGGCUAGCAUGAGCAGAGCAACUGUGCCCUCGGAGUAGGGCACAAAUUUUUCCCAUAUUUGAUGGCUCAGUGACCAGCCUUAGGUUUAAAGUUGAACUCGAUUGUGACUGUCUAUACGCUAGACACCAAGUUCCGUUCAGCGUCCUUGUACGGCAAAGUGGUUGUCGCCAUCAAGUGGUCAAGAGUGUGCUAACGCUUCAGACUCAAAUAUAGAGCGGAAGUAUAUACGUGGCUGUGAGGUGUCUGAAAAAAUAGAUACACUAUAGCAAAUAACACGGAUUAAAAUCAUACAUUGCUCUGAUAUAUUUGUUUUUAAAGGAAUAGUCUACUCAUUUUUCAAUAUUAAAAUAUGUUAUUACCUUAACUAAGAAUUGUUGAUACAUCACUCUAUCAUGCUGCGACGCCUCGAUAGCAUUUAGCUUAGCCCCAUUCAUUCAAUGGUACCAUUUAGAGAUAAAGUUAGAAGUGACCAAACACAUCAACGUUUUUCCUAUUUAAGACGAGUAGUUAUACAAGCAAGUUGGUGGUACAAAAUAAAACGUAGCGCUUUUCUAAGCGGAUUUAAAAGAGGAACUAUAUUUUAUGGCGUAAUAGCACUUUUGGGAGUACUUCGACUCGGCGCAGUAACACCCUCCCUCUCCCAUUAUGAGAGUGAGAAGGGGAGCGGACUUUUCAGGCGAGUCGAAGUACUCCCAGAUGAUAGAGGGAUGUAUCAACAAUUCUUAGUUAAGGUAAUAACAUAUUUUAAUAUUGAAAAUGAGUAGACUAUUCCUUUAAUCAUCAACGAACACCACGAACCACUCUGUGAGUAGCAGAGUUUUGAAAAUGAAGGUUAAGUGUUGUUUUAAUGACAUGUUUGUGCAUGGCCCUUGACUUGCAUUCUGAAGCAGUCAAGAGACGCUUUUAAACAAGUCAAAAAGUCAAGACACAACCCAUUGUCAAAAUUUCAGUGACCAUCACUGUAGUUCAUCCAAAACAAACCAGAAAUGAGACUCAAAGUGUUUAAUACCGGAAUUAUUCUUUAAGACUUUUUUCUUUAACAAAGCAUUCACAUAAUUUGUCUAGUAAAUUAUACUCAUCUCGCAAAAGUUAGCUUGUACGGAACAAAGCAUUCACAUAACUCGUCUGGGUAAUUUACUAAUGCCGCAAUAGCUAGCCUGUCUGGAACCGAGCAUAUAUUAAAACACAACACUGUCUGACACUUGAAUUGCAUGUGAAUGGCCCCUACACUAAUAGGAUUUUGUUUCUCUCUCCCUGUCUCGUCCUCAAACCGAGGACAUUGAGACAAACAGACCAGUUCCGGCUGCCGUGGAGGUCAACACACCACUGAUCUACUAGCUGCCCUUCAACGUGAUGCCCAGCCGUUGCCUGACCACAGACGAUGCAGUGAGGGAGUGAUUCCCCAACAUCGAGGUGGCAGAGAUCCGGGACCUUCUACGGAGGAAGUGCAACAAUGCCAGUUACAAGGCCUCCAGUAGUUCAAAUCAGAGCUAGAUGUCCAUAUAGUACAAGUUGUUCGCAAUUGUUCUCUUCCCGGCAUUUCAAAGAAAGUCGACUGUUUAAGGUUCCCCAUUUUGCCAAUAUCUGUUUUGUGUGUUACUUUUGUGUCAAUAAUAAAGAUCCUUUUUUGAAA